AUCCUCUCCCCUCUCCUGUGUCCAGGGCAACCUCGCAAAGGACACUUUAGUGAGCGGCAGGAGACGCGUGAUUAAUAAAAAAUGCUCCUCUGACUUUUAAGUUAUUGUCGGCGUGAAGAGCCCCUCCACGCCCGAACGGCUAUAGAACCCCCUACCACAGCACCACUUGGCGACAAUGAGGGGCCCACGCGUCCCCGGGCGAGGGGGACGGCGCUAUUGUCGGGGACGGGGCUCCUUUCAAGGAGCACCCGUGCAAAAAGCCACAAGUGAAUAAUAAAGAUCUCAUAAUAGCGCCUAAGAGUGCUUUAUAUUGGCAGAAGGCAGUAAAAUGAACUCUGGAGAGUGAAAAAGGAAAAAGGGGGAAAAAAAAAAAACAACUCUCAUCUCCUGAGACGAAAAAAUAAUUAACCCGACUUAAUGCAUCUGAGAAGGGCGUCCGUAAAUCAGACUUUUGUCCUUCAAGGGCCAGAUUAAAGCCAUUUAUCACAAAAGCGGGAAGACACCGCCUCCCGAGCGCACCGGGGGCGCUUCCGCGCCUGCAGAGGUCCGCGGGGCUUUGUGUGGGGCGCUGAAGGCCGG